UGGGGAAUUUUGCACAAUGGGGGAAACCCUGAUGCAGCGACGCCGCGUGAUUUAGAAGGCCUUCGGGUUGUAAAAAUCUUUUCUAUGGGAAGAAAAUGACAGUACCAUAGGAAUAAGGACCGGCUAAUUACGUGCCAGCAGCCGCGGUAAUACGUAAGGUCCGAGCGUUGUCCGGAAUCAUUGGGCGUAAAGGGUACGUAGGCGGGUAAGCCAGUUAGAAGUGAAAUCCUAUAGUGCAACUAUAGUAAGCUUUUAAAACUGCUCAUCUUGACGUAUGGAAGGGAAAGUGGAAUUCCUAGUGUAGCGGUGAAAUGCGCAGAUAUUAGGAGGAAUACCGGUGGCGAAGGCGACUUUCUGGCCAUAACCUGACGCUGAGGUACGAAAGCGUGGGUAGCAAACAGG
rnacentral:rRNA from 1 species